UUCGAUGAAGACCGUUUCAGGUUUCAUUCAUAUGAAGAUUUUGAAGCUAACUGUGAUAUCAAAGGUGACCUCUACGAUGUUGUGGGCCACAUGAAGCUGGUCAAUGGACAUACUCUUAUUGAGCGUCCCACACCUGAUGAAGUGAAGAUCGAUACCACUCGACACAUUAUGGUUCAUGUGCAAUCGCAUGACGGACCUGUCAUGAAGCUCUACCUUUGGGACCAGGCUGCAGCAGACUUCUGCAAGAAGUUUAACUCAUAUGACAACACUCCCACAGUGCUUUUGGUCACAGCUGUUAACACCAAACGUCUCG